rnacentral:rRNA from 1 species
UACGGAGGGAGCUAGCGUUAUUCGGAAUUACUGGGCGUAAAGCGCACGUAGGCGGCUUUGUAAGUUAGAGGUGAAAGCCUGGAGCUCAACUCCAGAACUGCCUUUAAGACUGCAUCGCUUGAAUCCAGGAGAGGUGAGUGGAAUUCCGAGUGUAGAGGUGAAAUUCGUAGAUAUUCGGAAGAACACCAGUGGCGAAGGCGGCUCACUGGCUCGUUACUGACGCUCAGGCGCGACAGCGUGGGGAUCAAACAGG